rnacentral:lncRNA from 1 species
AUCUGCUCCCUUAAAAAAACACUUUCAAAACCCUUUUUCUCUCAACUCUCUCAACCUCUCCUUUGAAUCCAACCAGGACUCCAGUGAGCUCGCGCGGUGGCUCCGCCGCAACCCCAUCUCGCCAGUAAGUAAAAAAGAGUUUUAAAAUCCCUCUUUUCUAAAAAAAAAACUCACUCGGUUUAGGUAUUUCUUAACUGAAAACGAAGAUGAAAAGAGAGGGGAAAAUAAAAUGCCUUUUGGCCUCCCUGUUUCCCUUGUUGGACAAAGCCCGAACAGAACCCUAAAGGGUUUCCACAACUUUCGUGAAUAGAAGGAUCCUCCGAUGAUGGCGAAGUACAGAGAAGAAGGUAAGCUUUUUAUUUUCAAAAAUGAAAUACAUAAGGAAAUUCACCUUUUUAAUUUCUUUUCUGUUUUUUGAUUGCUAUAGUCGUGUUCGUGUAAAAAACUAUAUUUGUGUUCUUGCGGCUUUUAUAGCCGAAAAGAAAGAAAAAUACAUUUUGUUCCUAUUUUGUUUUUUUUUUUGCUACGAUUUCUGUUGUUCUUGUCCUUCUUGCACGUACGGAGGACGUGGAGGGGCGACGUGGCACGGGGUGGAGAGUGGAGGCAGUUGGAGCGUACGGAGGUGAGGGCAACGGUGCAAAGGGGAAGUUAGGGUUCUAAGACAUUUUUUGAUUUUGGGCCAAUGGUUGUUACAAUUUGGGUUAGGGUUUGUUUGGGUUUAAGGUUAAUGAUUUGGGCCUGUGAGGUACUUGGACAUUUGUUUUGGCCUGUUUAGUAAUAUUUGGAUUUAGUCUUGGGCCAUUGUAAUUUGGGCUGUAUUGUAAAUGGACUUUGACUUGGACUUAAUAAUUAUUUUAUUUAUUCUGACCCAAGCCAAAAUUGGCUUAUUACAUGGGUUAGUAUAGGGAACACCAUCAUCACCUCCCAUGUAUACUUUGCAAUGAAUUCCAUUCAUGCAUUAGGAGCACUUUGCAAAUAUUUGACAUAAUUUUGAUGUUACCC